AGAGAAUCUCGUAGACGUAGUAGUAGGAAUUUGCCGUUUUUCCCUUAAAUUCAGUCCAAGCUAACCAACCAAACAGUAUAUCCCGUCCACGCGCUCCUACAGCACGUGUUCCUAACCGCUAGUUCCCUGUAUGACGGUAACCCAGUAUACUUCUUGACCCUGUCAUCUCUGGGCCCCUUACUCUCACCAAAUCCAACGGCAGAGAUCUCUCCUCUGCAUCAUCCUAGGGUUUUCUCUUGAUCCAAACCCUUACUUCCUUUAUAUCCUUCUUUCAGCCCUCUAAUUCUCUUUCCUUUUCAGUGCCGUUCCAUCCCCUCUUCCUCCCUUAUCACACUCUCUGUUAAUUCUUCACGCGCUGCCAGUCCCUUGGCGGCCAAAGUCACCGUUUCCUUCUCCGCCUUCCCUCUCCUCCUCUAUCAAAAACCCAAAAACACCAAAAAAAGAAAGGGCAAAAGACGAAAUAAAAACAACAGUAUCUCGGUUAGUCAUUGUAUCGAACAUUUGCUGUGCGCUUUUAUCACUUUUUCUUUGUUUAAGCUAGGGUUUGGUUUAGCAUAGACAGAUAGAGUUAGGGUUUGUUGUUUUGUUUUAUUAGAAUAAACAGAGGAGGGGGAAGAUAAAUUGAAAAAAAGUUAAAAAAA
rnacentral:misc_RNA from 1 species